rnacentral:tRNA from 1 species
GCCAGGGUAGCUCAGCCGGUUAGAGCGUGGGACUCAUAAGCCCAAGGUCGUGAGUUCGAUUCUCACCCCUGGUA